rnacentral:lncRNA from 1 species
GGUGGCGGAGAGAAAAAGUUCUGGAGACACCUGGUUGGGAGCAGGCUAAGGAAACAAAUGGGGAGGAAUUAGCCACAAAUCCUCAAAUAGACAGCUACUCAAAGGCAUCUUCACGGACAAUUUCCAAGCAUUGGAUGCAGUGGUGCAUUCUUGCAUUGGGCAGUGAUUGUGUGCACACAUCUCUUUAAGGGAGAGUGGAAAUGGGGUGAGGAGGAAAAUGGGAGUAGGAUAGAGUGUAGCGUUGACAUUUAUUUUCUUUAAAGGAAGACCCGAGCAUACCUGAGAGCUCAGUGAAGAAAGUAGUUCUGGCGAAUCGGAUUAAUAUGGUAUGAUCAGCCUUUAGCAAGAUUCUAUCACUUUUCCCACUGAUGAUGUGAGACGGUGUCCGCGUGUGUAAGUGCACACACGUGUGUGUGUGUGUGUGUUGCAUCUUCUGAGUAUUUUUCAAGGAGAAGCUUUUUAGUGAUCUGAAAAAGUCAAUUCAGUUAGCCACUAGAGUUCAAUCAAAAACUUCGGAAGAGUGCAUCAUCUUAAAGUACAUAAGAGAGAAUCAUGACCUCCAGCUCAGAAUUCAAGAAUAGGCAGGUUUGUGAAAUAGUAAGCUCAGAAAGUUGAGGGCCAGUGAACUCCUAUUUCAAGUUCUUGCGGGUGUUUGUACUUUUUUCCCAGCACCACUGAAACUUGACCUUCGGCCGGCGCGGUGGCUCACGCCUGUAAUCCCAGCACUUUGGGAGGCCGAGAUGGGCGGAUCACGAGGUCAGAAGAUCGAGACCAUCCUGGCUAACACGGUGAAACCCCGUCUCUACUAAAAAUACAAAAAAAUUAGCCGAGCGUGGUGGCGGGCUCCUGUAGUCCCAGCUACUUGGGAGGCUGAGGCAGGAGAAUGG